UACGUAGGAGGCGAGCGUUGUCCGGAUUCAUUGGGCGUAAAGAGCACGCAGGCGGUUUGGCAAGUCGGAUGUGAAAACCCGGAGCUCAACUCCGGACCUGCAUCCGAAACUGCCCGACUAGAGGUAGGUAGGGGAGAUCGGAAUUCCUGGUGUAGCGGUGAAAUGCGCAGAUAUCAGGAGGAACACCGGUGGCGAAGGCGGAUCUCUGGGCCUUACCUGACGCUCAGGUGCGAAAGCCAGGGGAGCAAACGGG
rnacentral:rRNA from 1 species